rnacentral:rRNA from 1 species
AGAGUGAACGCUGGCGGCAGGCCUAAUACAUGCAAGUCGAACGGCAGCACAGCAGAGCUUGCUCUGUGGGUGGCGAGUGGCGGACGGGUGAGGAAUACAUGGGAAUCUGCCCAGUCGUGGGGGAUAACGUAGGGAAACUUACGCUAAUACCGCAUGCGCCCUUCGGGGGAAAGCCGGGGACCUUCGGGCCUGGCGCGAUUGGAUGAGCCCAUGUCGGAUUAGCUAGUUGGCGGGGUAAAGGCCCACAAGGCGACGAUCCGUAGCUGGUCUGGAGAGGAUGAUCAGCCACACUGGAACUGAGACCACGGUCCAGACCUCCGU